rnacentral:rRNA from 1 species
UACGGAGGGUGCAAGCGUUAUCCGGAUUCACUGGGUUUAAAGGGUGCGUAGGCGGGCAGGUAAGUCCGUGGUGAAAUCUCUGAGCUUAACUCAGAAACUGCCAUGGAUACUAUUUGUCUUGAAUAUUGUGGAGGUAAGCGGAAUAUGUCAUGUAGCGGUGAAAUGCUUAGAUAUGACAUAGAACACCAAUUGUGAAGGCAGCUUACUACACAGUCAUUGACGCUGAGGCACGAAAGCGUGGGGAUCAAACAGG